rnacentral:lncRNA from 1 species
CUGCCAGAGGAGGGUUGGGAAGAAGACACUGCCUGAGUUACUCACGCUGUAACAUGAAACUUUGUUUUCCAAUUCAGAGUUAAUUCAGGAAGCAACAGAAAAGCAUGCUAUUAUCUUUUUAAGUACAUUCAAGAGAAGCCCUGCACACAAGGGUAUGUGUUCAUAUUCCUCAUGCUGGUAUAUAUGCUAUCCGCAAAACUUCAUGUCAACCAGCCAUUUGAUACCCUCCAAACACCUUGGAGAGUCAAGACAUCUUUAUUUGCUUAGAAAGGAUAUGGGAAAAUACACCAACCCCUGUACUGAGAAUUUACCAUCUACCAGACUUGAAGUUUCCAUGAACUGAGGAACA